rnacentral:tRNA from 1 species
GUGGGUGUAGCUCAGUUGGCUAGAGCGGAAGAUUGUGGCUCUUCAGGUCGCGGGUUCAAGUCCCGUCACUCACC